GAUGAACGCUAGCUACAGGCUUAACACAUGCAAGUCGAACGAAGCAUUUUGAAUGAAGUUUUCGGAUGGAUUUUGAGAUGACUGAGUGGCGGACGGGUGAGUAACACGUGGAUAACCUGCCUCACACUGGGGGACAACAGUUAGAAAUGACUGCUAAUACCGCAUAAGCGCACAGUACCGCAUGGUACAGUGUGAAAAACUCCGGUGGUGUGAGAUGGAUCCGCGUCUGAUUAGCCAGUUGCGGGUAACGCCCACCAAAGCGACGAUCAGUAGCCGACCUGAGAGGGUGACCGGCCACAUUGGGACUGAGACACGGGCCCAAACUCCUACGGGAGCAGCAGUGGGGAAUAUUGCACAAUGGGCGAAAGCCUGAUGCAGCGACGCCGCGUGAGUGAAG
rnacentral:rRNA from 1 species